AGUGAACACUGGCGGUAGGCCUAACACAUGCAAGUCGAACGGCAGCACAGUAAGAGCUUGCUCUUACGGGUGGCGAGUGGCGGACGGGUGAGGAAUACAUCGGAAUCUACUUUUUCGUGGGGGAUAACGUAGGGAAACUUACGCUAAUACCGCAUACGACCUACGGGUGAAAGCAGGGGAUCUUCGGACCUUGCGCGAUUGAAUGAGCCGAUGUCGGAUUAGCUAGUUGGCGGGGUAAAGGCCCACCAAGGCGACGAUCCGUAGCUGGUCUGAGAGGAUGAUAAGCCACACUGGAACUGAGACACGGUCCAGACUCCUACGGGAGGCAGCAGUGGGGAAUAUUGGACAAUGGGCGCAAGCCUGAUCCAGCCAUACCGCGUGGGUGAAGAAGGCCUUCGGGUUGUAAAGCCCUUUUGUUGGGAAAGAAAAGCAGCAGGUUAAUACCCCGCUGUUCUGACGGUACCCAAAGAAUAAGCACCGGCUAACUUCGUG
rnacentral:rRNA from 1 species